rnacentral:misc_RNA from 1 species
GUAGAACCUGUGUUGCCUG